AGAUCGCGAUUGCCAUCGCGGUGGAGACAAAGCGGGGCCGGGCGGGCGCGGCGCCCCGGAGCAGCAGCAGCAGCAGCAGCAGACGACAGUCAGCGGGCGCGGCACGGCGGGGGCCCCGCCUUGCGGUGCGGUGCUGGCCGUCCGGCGGGGGCAGUGACCGGCGGCGGGGGGUGGCGGGCGGGGAGGCCUCGAGGCGCACGCGGCCCGGCCGCCGCCGCCAUGGCCUUGGCCAAUUACAGCAGCCUGAACCGGGCGCAGCUCACCUUCGAGUACCUGCACACCAACUCAACCACCCAUGAGUUCUUGUUUGGUGCCCUUGCUGAACUUGUAGAUAAUGCCAGAGAUGCAGAUGCCACAAGAAUAGACAUUUAUACUGAGCAACGGGAUGACCUACGAGGUGGAUUCAUGCUGUGUUUUUUGGAUGAUGGAACAGGAAUGGAUUCAAAUGAAGCUGCCAGUGUUAUUCAGUUUGGGAAAUCAGCCAAGCGGUCACCUGAGUCAACUCAAAUUGGGCAAUAUGGGAACGGCUUGAAAUCGGGUUCCAUGCGGAUUGGGAAGGAUUUUAUCCUGUUCACAAAGAAAGACAACACCAUGACUUGCCUCCUCUUGUCAAGGACAUUCCAUGAGGAAGAAGGCAUUGAUGAGGUCAUCGUCCCCCUGCCCACCUGGAAUGUGCGAAGCCGGGAGCCUGUGACUGACAACAUGGAGAAGUUUGCUAUUGAGACAGAGCUAAUUUACAAGUAUUCUCCUUUCAAGUCAGAACAGGAAGUGGUGGAGCAGUUUAAUAAGAUACGUGGUGAGAAAGGCACCCUGGUGAUAAUCUUUAACCUCAAACUAAUGGAUAAUGGAGAGCCAGAGCUGGAUGUGACUUCUGACCCCCGAGACAUUCAGAUGGCAGAAACAUCUCCAGAGGGAACAAAGCCCGAGCGCCGCUCCUUCCGUGCCUAUGCUGCUGUGCUUUAUAUUGAUCCCAGAAUGAGGAUCUUCAUAAAUGGACACAAAGUACAAACAAAACGACUUUCAUGCUGCCUGUACAAGCCCAGGAUGUACAAAUAUACUUCAAACCGUUUCAAGACCCGUGCAGAGCAAGAGGUGAAGAAAGCAGAGCACAUGGCAAGGAUAGCGGAGGAAAAGGCUCGUGAGGCGGAAAGUAAAGCCCGUGCCCUUGAGCUGCGCCUAGGUGGGGACCUCACGCGGGAGUCCAGGGUGAUGCUACGCCAAGUCCAAAACUCGGCAAUAACCAUGCGCCGGGAGGCUGAUGUCAAGAAGAGGAUCAAGGAUGCGAAGCAGCGGGCACUGAAGGAACCCAAGGAGCUGAAUUUUGUCUUUGGUGUGAAUAUCGAGCAACGCGAGUUGGACGGCAUGUUCAUUUAUAACUGCAGUCGCCUGAUAAAGAUGUAUGAGAAGGUGGGCCCGCAGCUGGAGGGUGGCAUGGCAUGUGGUGGAGUGGUAGGUGUGGUGGAUGUGCCCUAUUUGGUUCUGGAGCCAACUCAUAAUAAACAAGACUUUGCUGAUGCCAAAGAGUAUCGACACUUGCUGAAGGCCAUGGGGGAGCAUUUGGCUCAGUACUGGAAGGAUGUUGCUAUAGCCCAGAGAGGUAUCAUCAAGUUCUGGGAUGAAUUUGGUUAUUUGUCAGCAAACUGGAACCAGCCUCCAUCUAGUGAACUGCGCUACAAACGCCGGAGAGCCAUGGAGAUCCCUACCACGAUUCAGUGCGAUGUGUGUCUGAAAUGGCGAACGCUCCCCUUCCAGCUGAGUUCAGUGGAGAAGAAUUACCCUGAUAGCUGGGUCUGCUCCAUGAACCCUGAUCCUGAACAAGACAGAUGUGAAGCUGCAGAGCAGAAGCAGAAGGUACCACUGGGAACUCUGAAGAAAGACCUGAAAUCACAGGAAGAGAAGCAGAAACAACUGGCUGAGAAAAUCCGCCAGCAGCAGGAAAAGCUGGAAGCUCUGCAGAAAACCACUCCAAUUCGAUCUCAAGCUGACUUAAAGAAACUGCCUCUGGAGGUGACCACACGGCCUGCAGGGGAGAACACGCAGUCACCAACCCGACCUCAGCGUCCGCGAUCUCCUCCUUUACCUGAUGUAAUCAAGAAUGCUCCCAGCAGACCACCACCAUCUUCACCUCUUGCCAAGUCCACCAUGCAGCUGAAAAAGAGCUCUUCAGCUUGGCCAAAUAUCAGCACUCCCAAACUGGCAACCAUGCUCUCCAGGGAGGAGGCCAGCACUUCCAGGACACACCAGCACACUCUGACAGCUGGGAAGUCUAACAGCAAUUUAAAAACUGCUGCCAAACCAGGUACAACAACGAAGCCACCUUCUGCUGCCCUGCAGAAUCCCAAAAGCUCACGUGAGACACCCAGUGUCAAAGCUGCCAAGGUGCCAGCAGUAAAGAAAUCUGCCACUGUCAAAUGCCCACAGGUGAGACUCAAUGCGAUGAAAACUGUCAGGUCCUUACCUACUAUUCUGCAUAGCCUGUCUUGCUCUAUUGCAUGGGAUUUGCACUGUAGUCCCCGUACAAGACCAGACUGUUUCCCCAGAAAUGAAGGAAUGUUGAGUGGCAGGGCCUCCACCACUCGGAAGAGGAUCUUGAACACCUCAGAGGAUGGGUCUGAGGAGGAGGAGGAGCACAGGAGGGAGAAGACAAAACGGGGCAAAUUUGUGGCAGUGAAAGAAGAGAAGGAUUCCAGUGAGGUGGUGGUAGAGCUUACAGACAGUGCUGGAGAAGAAGAGCUGGCGGAACUGAAGAAAUCUCAGAAAGAUGUGAUGCUUGGCUGUGUGGUGUAGACUGAUGUCACCCUUCCUUACUGAAUGGAGCAUGGACCUGUGUUAGCUGGGAGAUGCUGAGGACUGUAUCUAGACCUGCUGCACUGCUGUGAGAGAAGAGAGGCGAAGAGAUCCCCAGGAAAGAUGAUAGCCAGGAUGUAUUGCACCUUCUGCCAGAGCAGGGCAUUUCUUCAGCUUCUUCCUAAGGAGCUGUCUGCAAACCUCUGCAAAUUGGCCAACAGGGGCCUGGAAAGCCCAUGUCAAACAGCCCAGAGUACAGGAGAAACCUUCUGUCUGAAAAUGCCGUAUCCUUGUAUCUUAAUGUUUCUAAGUAGAAGUUAAACUGUGUGACAGUGGUGGUAUGUUUUAUGUACCAUUUGAAGGAAUUAUCACAGGUUUAGGUUGGCUCCCCACUGAGAGUGGCUGUCUUCUCUAGAGCUCAUGCAGAAUGUGCUCUCCAGCAUCUGAAUGCUUGCAAUCAUCUUUACUGUCGUCCUCCUUGCAGAUAAAGGGCUGCAUGUGGAAGUGCGUGUGAACAAGGAGUGGUUCACAGGCCGUGUCACAGCUGUGGAGACGGGCAAGCAUGCAGUACGCUGGAAGGUGAAGUUUGAUUAUGUUCCUACAGACACCACACCAAGGGAUCGCUGGGUAGAGAAGGGCAGCGAGGAUGUGAGGUUGAUGAAGCCUCCCUCUCCUGAGUACCAGGCUCCAGAUACACAGCAGGAAGAGGAGGUCGUUGUGGCGGAACCUUCUACCUCAGACUGUGUCAGAAUUGAGCCAGACACCACCGGUCCCAGUAGCAGCCAUGAAACAGUAGACUUACUAGUCCAGAUCCUUCGAAAUUGUUUGCGGUACUUCUUACCUCCCAAUUUUCCUAUCUCCAAGAAGGAGCUGAGUUCCAUGAGCUCAGAAGGGUUGUUGGCGUUUCCCUUGAAAGAAUAUUUCAAACAGUAUGAGGUUGGUCUGCAGAACCUGUGCAAUUCGUAUCAGACACGUGCUGAUGCCCGGGCCAAAGCCUGUGAAGAAAACCUCCGCAACUCAGAGAGAAAGCUGAAGGAAACAGAGGAGAAACUGCAGAAGCUAAGGACUAACAUUGUGGCCCUUCUGCAGAAAGUGCAGGAGGACAUUGAUAUUAAUACAGAUGAUGAACUGGAUGCAUAUAUCGAGGACUUGAUCACAAAAGGAGAUUGAGCAGCCCAGUACAAGUCCUAGAGAAGUGCAGAGGAGCUGGUUGCUGCGAUGGGAUUCCUGCAGUGGAGGACUAUAGUAGCUGAUGAGGAGAGAGGGUUUUUAGACAGUACCUGUGUUGGUGUACAACUUGUGACUUGACGCAAAAAAGACAUUUGUGCUGUUGGCAGGCAAAUUUUUAACAUUGUAGUUCUCUGGGUCUCUUCCUUUUGCUUAUAAAUAUUUAUUUUUAAAAGAAAUAGGAACUGUGCCUGAUAUGAUGGGAGGGUUGCUGUGUGGUUUUUAGUGAGGUAAAAGCAUGAGUACCCUUUUGCAUCUGGGGUAUAUUCAUAUGCUAUACCUGGAAGACCAGAACAUCCUGCCUAGCGGGUUGUCUCAAGUAAGAAUCUGGCAGCAACUUAAAAAUAAGCCCUGGGUUAUGGAGAAGGAGGCCAGGACUUGUACUUCAGAGAUGCUGAACUUGGGCUAGAGGAAGUCAAAUCAGGAAUUUGAGCUACACGGAGGAGGUCGAAGUACAGUCCUUGGGUGAACUUGAGUGGAGGGGAUGAAAUCCUGGUGGUUCUGAAGGGGUUAGGAGUAGGGGAUUAGCACUUGCCAGUGCUGUGAAAUUCCCAAAUAUGAGGUCUCCAUAAGCAGGUGGUAUUGUCACCAUGCUAACAGUCAGAGGAUGAGGAACCUUUUAUAAGAGGAUGGCCUCCUAAGCUGCUCACAGUGGGUUGUGAUCAUCAAAAGGAGAAAGCUGGAGUUCACAUUCUUUUCUAGCAGUCAGCUUAUUGCACACUUGCUGUUUCUCUGAGACGUAAUUGCAACGGCAGAACUCCUCAACCAGCUGAAAAUAAAGUGACCCUCUAUUCUGUUGUCACUCCCUCAGGUUUGCGUUGCUUUGAUCAACUUGCUCUUCCAGGUAAUUUUAUUAGGAGUGCUGGAAUGUGGAGCCUGUGGAGGCCUGCACCACUGAGUCCCACGUGGCCCUGGGUCAGCAGCCAGGGCAAUGCCUUUCCUUCGUCCUCCCAGCUGGAGGCUGCACUACGGCUCCAAGCAGACCAUGUGUGGCCACGGUGACUUGGUUUGAGUUCCCUGCCUGGCCCUCUGCUCAGCUCUGCAAGGGCAAGAAGUCUGUGACCUUGGUGCUCAUAAAACUGAAAUCCCUAGAACCUGGCAGUUUGAAGAAAGAGUGUGACCAAGAGGUGCCCACCUUCAGGAACAUCAGAUGAAAUGGACCAUUGGGGUUCUUUUGACAGCUGAAUGUGUAAUAGAUGUUUUGCAAUAAAAAAGUCCAAACUAAG